UUGGAAAGUUAGUAUUAGCGUAAGUUUGUGGGGAGGGGGAGGGAUAAUGUCAAAUGUCAAGCACCUGGGUAUUGUGAUUUGGUCCUGCGCCUUAGGGUUAGGGUUAGGGUUAGGAGUAGGUUUAGGUUCAGGGUUCCAAUUCAUGUACCUGACGUUUGGAGUGUGGGUAUGAUUGUUAGGGUUAGGGUUCUUCUUUUCGUAAGGGUCAUGAAUAGUGCAGAAAUAGCGGUACUUGAGGAUGACUUAUUGUUCUGGUAGGGUUAGGGCUAGGGUUAGGGUUAGGGUCAGGGUGAUAGAUAGCAUUGAAAUUGAAAUGCCUGUGUCUUCCAGUGUGGGUUGGAAAUUAAGAAUUGGCCUAAGUUCGUGGGGAGGGGGAGGGAUAAUGUCAAAUGUCAAGCACCUGGGUAUUGUGAUUUGGCCGUGCCCCUCAGGGUUAGGGUUAGGGUUAGGAGUAGGUUUGGGUUAGGGUUCCAAUUCAUGUACCUGACGUUUGGAGUGUGGGUAUGAUUGUUAGGGUUAGGGUUCUUCUUUUCGUAAGGGUCAUGGAUAGUGCAGAAAUAGCCGUAUUUGAGGAUGACUUAUUGUUCGGAUAGGGUUAGGGCUAGGGUUAGGGUUAGGGUCAGGGUGAUAGAUAGCAUUGAAAUUGAAAUGCCUGUGUCUUCCAG
rnacentral:lncRNA from 1 species